CUUCUAACAUAUACAAAAAUUUUAGUACACGACAAUUAAAAACAUACUUUCAAGAUAUACAAGACUUCCAUUACACAACAAUUAAAAACAUACUUCCAAGAUAUACAAGACUUCUAGUACACAACAAUUAAAAACAUACUUUCAAGAUAUACAAGACUUCCAUUACACAACAAUUAAAAACAUACUUCCAAGAUAUACAAGACUUCCAUUACACAACUAU